rnacentral:rRNA from 1 species
AGAAAGGGACGGCUAACUACGUGCCAGCAGCCGCGGUAAUACGUAGGUCCCGAGCGUUAUCCGGAAUUAUUGGGCGUAAAGGGCACGUAGGCGGACAAAUAAGUUUGAUGUCAAAUAUGAUGGCUCAACCAUCAAGAGGCGUUGAAAACUGUUUAUCUAGAAUCUCGGAGAGGUAAGUGGAAUUCCAUGUGUUAAGGUCGGUGGAAUGCGUAGAUAUAUGGAGGAACACCAAUGGCGAAGGCAGCUUACUGGACGAAGAUUGACGCUGAGGUGCGAAAGCGUGGGUAGCAAACAGGAUUAGAUACCCUGGUAG